ACUGGCAUUAGUGGGACUUUU
rnacentral:miRNA from 1 species